GCCGGGCAUGGCGGUGCACGCCUGUGGUCCCAGCUACUUGGGAGGCUGGGGUGGGAGGAUUGUUUGAGCCCAGGAUGUUGAGGCUGCAGUGAGCUGUGAUCACACAGCUGUACUCCAGCCUGGGCGACAGAGCAAGACCCUGCCUCUU
rnacentral:sRNA from 1 species